AAUCUUCGACAAUGAACGCAAGCCAUGAUCCACCCAUCCCGCCCGCACGAAGACUGCCAUAAAGGUUGUAAAAUGGUUUUAUACAGAAAGAAACACCCCCUAGUGAGGGGGCUUGACGGUACUGUAAGAAUAAGGAUCGGCUAACUUCGUGCCAGCCCCCGCGGUAAUACAGAGGAUCCAAGCGUUUUCCGGAAUCUUUGGGUUUAAAGGGUCUGUAGGUUGAUAAUUAAGUCAGAGGUAAAAGUCUGCAGUUCAAUUGUAGAAUCGCCUAUUAUACUGCUUAUCGUGAGUCAUUAAGAAGAGGUUAGUAUAUCUAGUGUAGCGGGGAAAGGCAUAGAUAUUACAUAGCAUACCAAUUGCGAAGGCAUAUCAGUAACAAUGUCAUCACACUGAUGGAAGAAAGCGUGGGGAGCGAACAGGAAUAGAUACCGUGAUAGUCCACGCCGUA
rnacentral:rRNA from 1 species